rnacentral:rRNA from 1 species
UUUCCCAGCCUCACUAGCCACUAGUGGUUGCCCACUGAAGCUAAGCAGGGUUGAGCCUGGUCAGUACCUGGAUGGGAGACCUUUUGGGAAAACUAGGUUGCUGCUGAAA